rnacentral:tRNA from 1 species
GGGCGCGUAGUUCAUUGGCAGAACGCCUCUCUGAUAAAGAGGAGGUAGAUGGUUCGAUUCCAUCCGUGCCCA